AUUGAAAUGACUGAAUUAGGUAAUAAACUGUAAAUUUAUUCAUGAAUAGAUAAAUAUUCUUUCAAUA
rnacentral:tRNA from 1 species